CCUACGGGAGGCAGCAGUGGGGAAUAUUGCACAAUGGGGGAAACCCUGAUGCAGCGACGCCGCGUGAGCGAAGAAGUAUUUCGGUACGUAAAGCUCUAUCAGCAGGGAAGAAAAUGACGGUAACUGAGUAAGAAGCACCGGCUAAAUACGUGCCAGCAGCCGCUGUAAUACGUAUGGAGCAAGCGUUAGCCGGAUUUACUGGGCGGAAAGGGAGCGCAGGCGGCCUGCCAAGUCUGAUGUGAAAUACGGGGGCUCAACCCCGGGGCUGAAUUGGAAACUGGCAGGCUGGAGUGCCGGAGAGGCGGGCGGAAUUCCUAGUGUAGCGGUGAAAUGCGUAGAUAUUAGGAGGAACACCAGUGGCGAAGGCGGCCUGCUGGACUGUAACUGACGCUGAGGCACGAAAGCGUGGGGAGCGAACAGGAUUAGAUACCCGGGUAGUC
rnacentral:rRNA from 1 species